rnacentral:tRNA from 1 species
GGAGUUGUGGCUCAGUAGUAGAGCGCUUACCUAGCACGUGAGAGGCCCUGGGUUCGAUCCUCAGCACCA